GAUGAACGCUAGCUACAGGCUUAACACAUGCAAGUCGAGGGACCGGCGCACGGGUGAGUAACACGUAUCCAACCUGCCCUUUACUCGGGGAUAGCCUUUCGAAAGAAAGAUUAAUACCCGAUAUAAAGGAUGGGGAUGGGUUCCAUUAGGUUGUUGGUGAGGUAACGGCCCACCAAGCCUUCGAUGGAAAGGGGUUCUGAGAGGAAGGUCCCCCAGAUUGGAACUGAGGCACGGUCCAGACUCCUACGCGAGGCAGCAGUGAACAAGAUUGGGCAAUGGGCGUUAGCCUGAACCAGCCAAGUGGCGUGAAGGAUGAAGGCUUAUGGGUCGUAAACUUCUUUGAUAUAAGAAUAUGUAUUAUAUGAAUAAGGAUCGGCUAACUCCGUGCCAGCAGCCGCGGUAAUAC
rnacentral:rRNA from 1 species